GGGGAAUCUUCCGCAAUGGGCGAAAGCCUGACGGAGCAACGCCGCGUGAGUGAAGAAGGUUUUCGGAUCGUAAAACUCUGUUGUUAGAGAAGAACAAGGAUGAGAAGAGAAUGUUCAUCCCUUGACGGUAUCUAACCAGAAAGCCACGGCUAACUACGUGCCAGCAGCCGCGGUAAUACGUAGGUGGCAAGCGUUGUCCGGAUUUAUUGGGCGUAAAGCGAGCGCAGGCGGUUCUUUAAGUCUGAUGUGAAAGCCCCCGGCUUAACCGGGGAGGGUCAUUGGAAACUGGGGAACUUGAGUGCAGAAGAGGAGAGUGGAAUUCCAUGUGUAGCGGUGAAAUGCGUAGAUAUAUGGAGGAACACCAGUGGCGAAGGCGGCUCUCUGGUCUGUAACUGACGCUGAGGCUCGAAAGCGUGGGGAGCAAAC
rnacentral:rRNA from 1 species